AACGAACGCUGGCGGCAGGCCUAACACAUGCAAGUCGAGCGAGGACGUCGGUCCUAGCGGCGGACGGGUGAGUAACGCGUGGGAACGUGCCCUUUGCUUCGGUAUAGCUCUGGGAGAGUGGGCUUAAUAACGGUUGAGCCCUUUGGGGGUAAGAUUUCUCGGCGAAGGAUCGGCCCGUGUUGGUUUAGGUGGUUGGUGGGGUAAUGGCCGACCAUGCCGACGAUGCAUAGCUGGUGUGGGAGGAUGAUUAUCCACACUGGGACUGCGACACGGCCCAGUCUCCUACGGGAGGGAGCAGUGGGGAGUCUUAGACAAUGGGGGAAGACCUAAUCUCGCCAUGCCGCGUAAGCGAUGAAGGCCUUAGGGUUGUAAAUCUCUUUCAGCUGGGAAGAUAAUGACGGUACCAGCAGAAGAAGCCCCGGCUAACUCCGUG
rnacentral:rRNA from 1 species